ACCCGUCAUUCGUUCGUCCUCAGUGCAGGGCAACAGAUUCUCCAUCUUGGGUGAAGGGCCACUGUCCCUUCAUGCUGUCGGAACUCCAGGAUGGGAAGAGCAAGAUUGUGCAGAAGGCAGCCCCAGAAGUCCAGGAGGAUGUGAAGGCUUUCAAGACAGGAAACUAUGUCUUCAGUUAUGACCAGUUUUUCAGGGACAAGAUCAUGGAGAAGAAACAGGAUCACACCUACCGUGUGUUCAAGACUGUGAACCGCUGGGCUGAUGCAUAUCCCUUUGCCCAACAUUUCUCUGAGGCAUCUGUGGCCUCAAAGGAUGUGUCCGUCUGGUGUAGUAAUGAUUACCUGGGCAUGAGCCGACACCCUCAGGUCUUGCAAGCCACACAGGAGACCCUGCAGCGUCAUGGUGCUGGAGCUGGUGGCACCCGCAACAUCUCAGGCACCAGUAAGUUUCAUGUGGAGCUUGAGCAGGAGCUGGCUGAGCUGCACCAGAAGGACUCAGCCCUGCUCUUCUCCUCCUGCUUUGUUGCCAAUGACUCUACUCUCUUCACCUUGGCCAAGAUCCUGCCAGGGUGCGAGAUUUACU
rnacentral:sRNA from 1 species